AGUGAACGCUGGCGGUAGGCCUAACACAUGCAAGUCGAACGGCAGCACAGUAAGAGCUUGCUCUUACGGGUGGCGAGUGGCGGACGGGUGAGGAAUACAUCGGAAUCUACUUUUUCGUGGGGGAUAACGUAGGGAAACUUACGCUAAUACCGCAUACGACCUACGGGUGAAAGCAGUGGAUCUUCGGACCUUGCGCGAUUGAAUGAGCCGAUGUCGGAUUAGCUAGUUGGCGGGGUAAAGGCCCACCAAGGCGACGAUCCGUAGCUGGUCUGAGAGGAUGAUCCGCCACACUGGGACUGAGAGACGGUCCAGACUCCUACGGGAGGCACCAGUGGGGAAUAUUGGACAACGGGAGCAAGCCUGAUCCAGCCACACCGCGUGGGUGAAGAAGGCCUUCGGGUUGUAAAGCCCUUUUGUUGGGAAAGAACAGCAGCAGGUUAAUACCACGAUGUUCUGACGGUACCCAAAGAAUAAGCACCGGCUAACUUCGUG
rnacentral:rRNA from 1 species